CUCUCUGGAGAGUUCUGGAUAAACACAGAGGCCGAAGGUGCAACAUAUAGUUCUUUAUAAGCAGUUAAUAAUGUGAUUAUAAGACAACAUUAUUAAUAACAACAUUGUGACUUCUUAUAAAGUGGGUAUAUGAAUCUCUCAGGCAAAAGGACAGAGAAGG
rnacentral:ncRNA from 1 species